rnacentral:rRNA from 1 species
UACGGAAUGUGCAAACGUUAUUCGGAAUCACUGGGCUUAAAGAGUCCGUAGGCGGCAUGUUAGGUGAGGUGUGAAAUCCCCCGGCUCAACCGAGGAAUUGCGCUUCAAACCGGCGUGCUUGAGGAAGAUAGAGGUGGCGGAACUGAUGGUGGAGCGGUGAAAUGCGUUGAUAUCAUCAGGAACACCGGAGGCGAAAGCGGCCACUGGUCUUUCUGACGCUGAGGACGAA